rnacentral:rRNA from 1 species
CCUAGGGGAGGCAGCAGUGGGGAAUAUUGGGCAAUGGGCGAAAGCCUGACCCAGCAACGCCGCGUGAAGGAAGAAGGCUUUCGGGUUGUAAACUUCUUUUGACAGGGAAGAGCAGAAGACGGUACCUGUCGAAUAAGCCACGGCUAACUACGUGCCAGCAGCCGCGGUAAUACGUAGGUGGCAAGCGUUGUCCGGAUUUACUGGGUGUAAAGGGUGCGUAGGCGGAAUGCCAAGUCAGCGGUAAAAUCGCGGGGCUCAACCUCGCUCCGCCGUUGAAACUGGCGUUCUUGAGUGGGCGAGAAGUAUGCGGAAUGCGUGGUGUAGCGGUGAAAUGCAUAGAUAUCACGCAGAACUCCGAUUGCGAAGGCAGCAUACCGGCGCCCAACUGACGCUGAAGCACGAAAGCGUGGGUAUCGAACAGGAUUAGAUACCCUAGUAGUC